rnacentral:rRNA from 1 species
AGCAGCCGCGGUAAUUCCAGCUCCAAUAGCGUAUAUUAAAGUUGCUGCAUUUAAAAAGCUCGUAGUUGAAUUUCGGGACCAUCAUGUCGGUCGUGCCUAGGUACGUACUGGCAUUGUUGGUUUCUCCCUUCUGACGAACCAUGAUGUCAUUUAUUUGGUGUUGUGGGGAAUCAGGACUGUUACUUUGAAAAAAUUAGAGUGUUUAAAGCAGGCUUUAGCUUGAAUACAUUAGCAUGGAAUAAUGAAAUAGGACGUUCGAACCUAUUUUGUUGGUUUCUAGGAUCAACGUAAUGAUUAAUAGGGAUAGUUGGGGGCAUUAGUAUUCAAUUGUCAGAGGUGAAAUUCUUGGAUUUAUUGAAGACUAACUACUGCGAAAGCAUUUGCCAAGGAUGUUUUCAUUAAUCAAGAACGAAAGUUAGGGGAUCGAAGACGAUCAGAUACCGUCGUAGUCUUAACCAUAAACUAUGCCGACUAGGGAUCGGAUGAUGUUAAUUUUUUAAUGACUCAUUCGGCGCCUUACGG